rfam:Cavia porcellus supercont2_19 genomic scaffold, whole genome shotgun sequence.
GGGGAUUUAGCUCAGCGGCAUAAGUACCUGUCUUGCAAGCAGGCAGUGAUGAGUUCAAUCCCCU